ACUAGACACAGCUGUGUUCAGUUUUGUAAACUGUGAAUUUGACUUAAAAUACCUGCUUAUUUUUCUAAUUAAUUCGCAGAUUUGGAUAAAAGUUCACAUGAAUGACAAUAUUUUUCCAGUCUAAACUUAAAACAAGUCUCAAACAUGACUUCUACUGUGGUAUAAAGAAGAUUUAUUGCCCCUGUGGAUGAAUACCGGUACUCAUACAAAGCACGUCAGUAAAAAUCCACUCGGUAAUAAUGAUGAGAAGGAACAUUACCGUGUACAAGUUGAAUAGAUCAUUUUCUGUAAAACUGGAUAAUUGCAAGACUUGUGCCAUCUAUUUAAUUGAGGCCUUUGUCCUGCAAGCUUUUGUCUCUGGGAUGGGAUGAUGUCACCUUUUGUACCUGUCUGGUAUCUACCAUGAUGAGGCCUUGAUCCUGGCUGAGGGUGUUGGCUGUUUGAUGAAUGCUAAAUUGGGAAGCAGCUAUAGGAAACCUGAAUUUCUAACACACUCUGCAACACUUGAGCUAGAGCAAAUACAACUGAUACUUAUAAAAUCACUAAGGCAUUUGCCACUUGUCACUAUCUCUUAUACAGUCAUUGGUACAUCAGUUCUCUUCCAGUUCUUCCAUCCUUGGCCUACAACAGAGCAAACUCCCUGCUUAUCUGUCACACUUGCAAUUUCAACUGAGUUGCUCUGGACUUGGAAGAAGUUGAUCGGUUCUAAGAUCAAGGAUUUCCCGACUCUGGAAGAAGGACAGCAAAUAAAACAUAGUCCUUUACACUGAGGAGUUUGAAAGGGAAUGUCACUAGGUCUGAGGAGAGAAAACACUGUACCAUCUGUAUCUGUCUGGAGUUGACUUUUCCUUCUGUCUCUCUGAAGAGAAUAAACAAGCAGAGGUAUAAUUGCCCAUGGUGUGGAGCAUCCCCAGGCAGUAGAGGCAGACUGGCUCUCGCCUCAUCUCUCUGCUGAGUCUGGGAGCUCUACAUCACUGCUGGCAGACACAGAGCAAGGACUGCUGCUCUUCUUCAU
ensembl:lncRNA